UCACAGCCAAUAUUGAUACCC
rnacentral:miRNA from 1 species